AGGGUUCAUUUUAGUGCCUCUGAUUGACUAGGCUAUGGCAGAAGCAGAGUCUUUUUCUUAUUGGCUGGUAGACAAUGUGGGAAAGGACUCUGUUAGAGGAAAGAAGGGACGGCCUGAUAAGAGAAGGAGCUGAGCUGGCUGGAGGCUGCAAUUCUGAAGCUGAUCUUAACGGGAGGAACCAUGAAGACAUCCACAGGAGCUUUAAUCAUGUUCUCAUGGCUGCAGCUGAACUGGUUCAGCCAAGGAGAGAAGGUGGAGCAGCAUCCUUCUACCCUGAGUGUGCAGCAGGGAAGCAGCUCUGUUAUCAACUGCAGUUAUUCAGACAGUACCUUCAUCUACUUCCCUUGGUAUAAGCAAGAGUUUGGAAAAGGUCCCCAGCUCCUUAUAGACAUUCGUUCAAACACGGCCAAAAAAGAAGACCAAAGACUCACUGUUUUUUUGAAUAAGAUGGCCAAACAUCUCUCCCUGCACAUCGCAGACACCCAGCCUGAAGACUCAGCUGUGUACUUCUGCGCAGCAAGCACACAUUGCUUCCCAGGCACCUGCUGCCUGCACUCAAACCUGGGUGUGGGGCAGCCCCCUGUCCUUUGA